CAGUCGCCGCGGGAAUACAGAGGGUGCGAGCGUUAAUCGGAUUUACUGGGCGUAAAGCGUGCGUAGGCGGCUAAUUGAGUCGGAUGUGAAAUCCCCGAGCUUAACUUGGGAAUUGCAUUCGAUACUGGUUAGCUAGAGUGUGGGAGAGGAUGGUAGAAUUCCAGGUGUAGCGGUGAAAUGCGUAGAGAUCUGGAGGAAUACCGAUGGCGAAGGCAGCCAUCUGGCCUAACACUGACGCUGAGGUACGAAAGCAUGGGGAGCAAACAGGAUUAGAUACCCGCGUAGUCCCCUGUCUCUUAUA
rnacentral:rRNA from 1 species